rnacentral:tRNA from 1 species
GUCUUUUUAGUAUAAAAUAUAAAUGACUUCCAAUUAUUAGAUCUUAGUUUUAACCUAAGAAAAGACA